rnacentral:lncRNA from 1 species
GAGGAGGAGCUUUACUUCUGUACUGCCAUUUGCGUGGGACCCGAGGGCGUGCGGGACCCGAGGACGGGCCGCUCCCUCCUUUGCUCCGGUCGCCGCAGGUCAUGAGUACCCUGCCGGCGAAUGGGAGCCGGCCGCCGGCACUGUAGCCCGCAUAGGACGGUCGUGCACGGGUACUUGCGCCGGGUUGCGUGAGGGGCGCGAUCGCCCUGCCCUCUGCCAGACCUGCGGCGCAUUUACGGCGAGGCCGACGGGGGGACCCACAGGAUUUGUCUUUGUCUAUGCGGACCGCAUCCGAGGGGGUUCGCGUACUUGUGGGCCCCAGUGCGCCCGACCCCUCCAGUUAGGGUCGGGCGAGGCGGAGAACUCCGUGGCGAGGGGUCGGGCGCCCCCGACCCUGGGAUCGUGGUCGGGCGAGGCGGAAACCCUGCGGAGGGGGGUCGGGCGCUCCCGAUCCUGGCACCCGGGUCGGGCGAGGCGGAGAUUAGAUCAUGCUUUGGUGGGCCUGGGCCUUCAUGUCUGCUUCUUUAAGCAGUCUGUUAGGGGAUCG